AGUGAGAGAUCGAGCAGGUAGGAUCACAAGGAGGGAGAUGAGAAGAAGGUGAGGGUGAGGGUAAUACUAGCACAGAUCUCUAAGCAAUCUGGAGAGGGAGGGGGUUGGGUGAAGAAGAAGCCGGAGCUCUAUAGAAUGUUCUAGAGAGCUCGAAGGAUUAGUUAUAUCGACAUGGAUCUCAAAGCGAUCCGAUGGUAGAUGGGGAGAUCAACAUAUUGGUACAGACCUCGAAGCAUUUCGGUAGCAAAUGUGAGGAGAGGGUGAGGGUGAGGGAAAAUAUUGGCAUAGAUCUCAAAGUGAUCCAGUAGGAGCGGGAGAUUGGGUGGGUAGGAUCAUGAGGAGAGAGAUGAGAAGAAGGUGAGGGUGAGAGAAAUACUGGCACAGAUCUCAAAACAAUCUAAAGGAGGGGACGGUUCGAGCGGGUGGUGGAGGGGCUCUACUGCGCCGAAGAUGGGAGAU
rnacentral:lncRNA from 1 species